GAUGAACGCUGGCGGCGUGCCUAAUACAUGCAAGUCGAGCGAAUGGAUUAAGAGCUUGCUCUUAUGAAGUUAGCGGCGGACGGGUGAGUAACACGUGGGUAACCUGCCCAUAAGACUGGGAUAACUCCGGGAAACCGGGGCUAAUACCGGCUAACAUUUUGAACCGCAUGGUUCGAAAUUGAAAGGCGGCUUCGGCUGUCACUUAUGGAUGGACCCGCAGCGCAUUAGCUAGUUGGGGAGGUAACGGCUCACCAAGGCAACGAUGCGUAGCCGACCUGAGAGGGUGAUCGGCCACACUGGGACUGAGACACGGCCCAGACUCCUACGGGAGGCAGCAGUAGGGAAUCUUCCGCAAUGGACGAAAGUCUGACGGAGCAACGCCGCGUGAGUGAUGAAGGCUUUCGGGUCGUAAAACUCUGUUGUUAGGGAAGAACAAGUGCUAGUUGAAUAAGCUGACACCUUGACGGUACCUAACCAGAAAGCCACGGCUAACUACGUGCCAGCCGCCGCGGUAA
rnacentral:rRNA from 1 species